UACGGAGGAUCCAAGCGUUAUCCGAAAUCAUUGGAUUUAAAGAAUCCAUAAACAGUUUAAUAAAUCAAUGGUGAAAUCUGGUCGCUCAACGAUCAAACGGCCAUUGAUACUGUUAGACUUGAAUUAUUAGAAAGUAACUAGAAUAUAUAAUGUAGCGGUGAAAUGCUUAGAUAUUACAUGGAAUACCAAUUGCGAAGGCAGGUUACUACUAAUAUAUUGACGCUGAGGGACGAAAGCGUGGGGAGCGAACAGG
rnacentral:rRNA from 1 species